CCCUUAGACGUUCUGGGCCGCACGCGCGCUACACUGACUAGUGCAACAAGCAUCCGUCCUUGGCCGACAGGCUCGGGCAAUCUUUGAACGCUGGUCGUGAUGGGGAUAGACUUUUGCAAUUUUUGGUCUUCAACGAGGAAUUCCUAGUAAACGCAAGUCAUCAACUUGCAUUGAUUACGUCCCUGCCCUUUGUACACACCGCCCGUCGCACCUACCGAUUGAAUGGUCCGGUGAAGCCUCCGGAUUGGCGCGCACCUCGGUGCCGCCGAGAAGUUGGCUAAACCUUACCAUUUAGAGGAAGGUGAAGUCGUAACA
rnacentral:rRNA from 1 species